CACACACACACUUCCCCCCACCACCCCCAAGCCCUGACAUAGUCCCACGGCUGUUUGGCGAGGGGGUUUCCUCUCCUUGCUUUUUUAUCUGUGCACUCGCUCGGUGACCCUUGUUCCCCUUGUUUCUUGCUGUCUGACCUACACCCCCACCUCGAACACACACCAUCCUCACUCCCUCUGUGUAAAACAGCCGAGCCACUGCUAACAAAUCCUCCUCUUGCCUCCCCUUUGACAACCAAAACUGACUUGGAAAAAAAUGCACAUUUUGGGGAUUUUAAGAUACUGAUAUGCAUUCUGUGUUGCACAUCGUUGGCCUGUUCCUCCAAAAAGUCCGAUCUCAUCAUGCGUGCUACGUGCCUUAAAAAUGUGACUUGCACAAUGUCAAGUUUCCAUCAUAGGAAUGGGCCAAUGCAUUGAUUCCAGUCCUCUUGGAGGUCUGCAGUCAAGUGCUUGUAGUGCGUGCAGGAGAACCAGCCGCAGCCCCGUGUUGCCUGAGAGCCAGCAUGCACUUUGCAGGGUUGCUUGGCUGGCGGUCCCGCCUGAUCCGCUGCUGUCAUGAAGGAGAACCCCGGGCUCCCUUUUUUCAUAGCCCGCACGCACGCACUUGCACGUCACGUGCGCGCGCGCACGCACACUCACGCCGGAUCGAUUUGCACGGGACUUGGUCUGGGAACGGCUGAGAAUUGACUUAAAAAAAUACAAGGCUCGAAAGAAGCAAAGAGCCGGGACCGAGUGAAGGAGACGAGCCGAGCCGAGCCGAGCUUAGGUGGGAUGAAGCCGAGGGGGGGAGAGUGGCCGUGACUCGGAGCGGAGGGCUUAAAAAAAAAAAUAAAAAAUAAAAAGAUUCCAGGGGAAAGGAUCUCGUAAACCACAAUACCAAAGCCCUUUCUUCGGACGGUCAUGCUUUUAAAUGUUUUUGUACAAUAUGCGAAAAGCGAGAGCUGCGAGAUCCGCGAAAGAGUCGCCGGACCAACGCGGAGCCAACAGGCUGGACUUGGAGCUCCUUCCCCGGCAGCGCUCCGUGAGGAGCCGCUGCUGCCAGAUCCCUGCAAAUCCCGAAACACGUCUCUCGACAUCCACGACCCCUCCACGCACGUCCCCGUCCCAUCCAAAAAGCCCGAAUCUGCUUUAAAAGCGCUUCUUUUUCUUCGUCUCGAAUGAUCCGCUUGUUCUCGUCCGCGGACGAAGAGGAGAGGACGAGCGCUGAUGUGAACGCAGGCACGAAGGGAAGGGCUAAUUAGCCGCCUUGUGGAUCAAUAAGAUUCAGCAGAGGAGAGACGGCGGAGGGAGGGCGAGGAGGAGGGAGGAAGAGGAGGGAGGGAGGAUGGAUAGAUACAAGGAAGGGCGAGAAAAAGAGGAAAGUAAUGAUCAGGAAUAGAAAAUAUGGAAUUAAGAGAGGCGGGAAGUAAGAGUUUGAUUAGUGAAAGUGAACGCUGGCUGGCCGCCGAGCUCCACGCUGCGUGCGAGGCUUCGCAUCCACUCGGCUUGUUCUCCCCCAAUACACUUUUUCUCGCCUUUCAAAAACACUUGUGAUUUUUAAAAAAAAUACUUUUUAACGCUCGUUUUGCACGUGAUUCGCACACAUAAAGCGAUGUAUGAUGUAGAUUUACUUUUGUUAUUUCUCCCACUCCUUCUUCCAUGCAUGAGUUCGCGAUGACUCGUCACUGCACAGUUGAGCAGCUUAAAAAAGUAAAAAGCGGCAGGGAGAGAAUAUUACUAUUCAGCCUAAUGUAAAUGCUGUGCUUUUUAUUUUUUAAAGAAAUAUUAAUUAUACACGCUGUCAUAGAACAUAAUCUACAGGGGAAUUUUACGCGCGGUUGCAAAAGUGCGUCCAUGAUAAAAGCGCUAAAAUGUGACUUGAUAAAUACACAAUCGAUGUGAAAUUGUCACUCAAUGGUGCACUUUCAGAAAUUACCGCUACAUCGCCAUAUAUAAUUCACACGACUCCAUGGGAAUGUUAGUUGAUAUUAACAUAUUCUUAAACUAACAACGUAAUGCGCAUUUGAGCUUGUGUAGGAGCAUUUUUUUUUAUUAACAGAGAAAUGAAUGAAUUUGUGAGAGAUGUUUCGCUAUGACACGUUAAUAAAUGUACAUCGGUCGUUUAACAUACAUUAUUAUUACGUCACUGAAGAGGGUCAAAUAUUUUCAAAUAUUUUAGAGUGAAAUGGAAAUUCCUCGGAUGAUGGUAUUGUAUUUUAGGGGCUGUAACACACUGUUUUAGUUGUGUGUAAAUACAGUGAGGUUUAUUUUUCGCUUGUAAAAAAAAUUGUCCUUUGCGUUGCAUGGGGGAGGAGAGAUCUAUAGCUAUUGGGGCAAGUGUCAUACAUGGAAGAGAUGAAUCUGAGCAUGUCAUCUUAUUGCGAACAAAUAACGCCAUUAAAUCCUUUUUUAAAUUUAAUAACAAAAAAAGUUAGGAAGAGUGAGGUGGCUCUUCCCUUAAUCUCACGAUGCUGUAUUUGCUUUGUGGAAAUUGCUAAACUCACUUUUAUGAGAGAUGUACACUAUAUUCCCCUCUCUCUUGUAUAAUAAAGUAUUUAAUAUUUAUACCCACUGUCCUCUGUGUCUAUAUUGCACAAACAUACAUUGAAUGCAUUGUGACGAUGAUGUUGUGCUUAUUUUAUGCUCUCUAUAUAUACAGUCCAGAAAGUCCAGGCGGCAUCUUGAAGUGAUCACGUAAGGUGCCAUGUUUACGGAAACAGUGUGGAUUGGAUAUUCUCCGCUGUAAUACAUUCCAGUACAGGUCAGAUCGUAACGCCUAUAGGGUUAGUCCAAACAUGACUUACAUGACACCGAAAGAAUUGUUUUAAAUAGACCCGCACGUGUAAAGCGGCGCAGGACUUGAUUUUAUAUUUACUUUACAAGGUUAUGGACGUGAAAGCUCGCGAUGAUCUUAAGGUCCCGAGCACGCAGCUCCCCCACAACCCCCAUCACACUGCUAAAAUAUAUGCUACGUUGCAUCCUGGCAUUUCCAGCACACUUGCCGUCCACAAGUUGAGGCAUGCAAUGAUACCUGUUUUUAAGAAGGAAAACACUGGCGCGCGCGCACGCACAAGUGCAUGGUUUGCACUGCUUUGGCAGAGUGCAGGAAUCUGGAGGAUUUGCGACAUGUCUGCUCUCUUGGGAAGAAGACAUUGUAAAAAUGAAUAGGUUGAAAAUAGCGUGCGAGGGGCUUGGAGAUAAUAAAAGAGAGGCCGUUGUAAUUUGAGGCUUGUAUGGAGGCAGUCCUACAAAGCCCGUCAGUGCAAAAGCGGAGUUUACCAAAGUGUAUGCGAAAAGGCCCGAGUGACAUUAGUCCAUCAUCAUCAGCUGAGGGGUGGGCUGUGGGCGGCGGAGGGGGGGUCUGUCGUCUAGGUGGAAGGGGCGCUUCAUGCUUUUAGGGCGUCUCUGAAAAGGGGGUUACAAAAAGUGUGUGUGUGUGAAGGGGGGGGAUGCUUUUGUGUGAGCGGCAUUCAAUUGCGCCUCUCUGUGGGAAGGGUAAGCGUCCACGUGCCAAUUUCAAUAGGCGGCACAUCCACCAGUGGCACUGCACAUUGAACACAACCUGUGGCGAUAGAACAGUCCGCGGACGCAACAAAGGCACAAAUAGUGGCUUCAAGUGCAAAAAUUAAAAUAUAGGCUAUACAGUAUAUUAAAAAAAAUAAUACACGAGCAUGGCGGCGCACGUGAACGCACAAGCAUCUCUCAACAGUUUUUCAUUAUUAGUCGUAUUAUAUUAUUAUUGUUGCUAUAUUUAUAUGUGUGCGUGCGUCCGACAGGGGCGUGCACAAAUCGAACCCCAAACAAAGCACAAACGGAAACGGACGAAAUGGACAGGGAAGAGUAUUUAGAGAUCAAAGAUUCCAUAUCGAGACAAGCCAUAACUUUUUUUUUCCAGAUUUUAUUUUUUAACUCGAUUUUAGCUAAGAGGCGAGGCUGUAUUAUUAACGAGGAGUAUUAUUGUUAGAUGUCUGCUCAUUUGUGGGUAAACAUCAGGCGUCUAUCUGUAAGAUGAAUAUAGUUAUUUAAAACAGUUUCAAAAUAGAAACAUACAAAGGAGACUGUAUGGGCUUAAGAUGGAAUCCCGAACUGUAUUUAAAAAAAAAAUGUAAAUGUAAGUUUUGCAUCUGAUGCAUGAAGUUGAUGAAAAUACAGUCUGAAAGGUGCUAUAUUGGAAAUGCAGGUUGAUAUAAUUCAAUAUGCAAGGUGACACAAUCGUAUUAGAAUUCAUUUUGACAUUGAAAUAUGAUUUGUAAAUUGUUGUGAUUUUAUACAAAUGUAUUAUUAAAUACACUUUGCAAUGUUUAUUCUGCGUUUUAUUUGUUUGUCGACGAAAAAGCCAAGUGUUUGAGUGUGUGCACCAUGAACAUGCUGAGCCACGUAAGGGGUCGUGUUCUCCCCACUUGCACUUGGACAGCCCGGCCAGGUGCAAUGGGAGCGCCCUCUUAUGUUCAGCCGGACUACAGGGACCGUGCAGCAUGACUGCAGCUCCACGGGAGACAAGCCCGCGGACCUGCGCACUUGGCUCUCGCAUAGGGGAGAGUCGGACCGGUUCUGGCUUGCUUAUGGACAACACAUCAACACCAACAACAACACUGGGUCGAGAAAGCGUGAAUGCAUGACGUAUGCAAGCGAAAAGAAAUUGUCGCAGCACACCUCCUAUCGUUAAUGGUAGAACUUAAUAAUUUUGUUUAUGUAUAAUUUCCAAGAUUACAUAAAUUCGUAAAGCAAUUUGAAAUAAUUGGAAAGUAUUUUUAGUCUGUUAGGUAACAUGCAGAUAUACUUUUUAAAUGACUCCUUUCAGAUUAACGUAACGUGAUUAAAAUGUGACUUUGGAGCGGGGGCGGUUAUAUACAGAUACAUAUUGCAAAUAAAAAUAUUACGUAUUAAAAAAAAAGUGCAUGCAAUAGCCUACAUGCCUUUUUGUUCUUUGGUUUUCCUAAAUUAUACACAGAAUUGAAUACACGAGUGUUUUUCAAUUGAUGCACGCUUUGUAAUCGUCUUGGUUACGUGUCAUAUUGAAGUAGAUCGUGUUAUAGGCAUAUAUUUGAAAUGUGUUAUUUAUUUUCUUUAGGAGAGGAUGCAUUCGAUAUUACAUGUGAAAAUCUGGAGUGUCGUGAAUGGGUGUGAUACUGAUGCUUUGGCCAUCCAUAUUUUAAAUAUUUGUUAGGCUUAUCCCACUUAUUUCACGUGAUAAUUUCCAUUAUUUCACUGCACAUAUAAUGUUUUUAUUAUUAUUUAAUUUGAAUUACAACGCUAUUCAUUUUGUUUGAUAAUUCAUUUAUUUUAUAUCAUGAAUGCUAAUGUGAAUAGGCCUACUCUAUGAAUAUUAAAAUUACGUUGGACCAAGAGUUUUUCACGUAUGUACAUAUCUUGAAAUGUCUCCUAGCACAAAAUGAUUUGGUGCAAGACAGCGUCUAUUCGCGUGUGCAGCUUGAGGUGAGAAAUCAGGAUGCGUGUCCUUCUGCUGUUGUGAUGUUGAGAGUUCGGAUUAAAAAAAAAAA